GAUGAACGCUGGCGGCGUGCCUAAUACAUGCAAGUCGAGCGAACAGAUAAGGAGCUUGCUCCUUUGACGUUAGCGGCGGACGGGUGAGUAACACGUGGGUAACCUACCUAUAAGACUGGGAUAACUUCGGGAAACCGGAGCUAAUACCGGAUAAUAUUUCGAACCGCAUGGUUCGAUAGUGAAAGAUGGUUUUGCUAUCACUUAUAGAUGGACCCGCGCCGUAUUAGCUAGUUGGUAAGGUAACGGCUUACCAAGGCGACGAUACGUAGCCGACCUGAGAGGGUGAUCGGCCACACUGGAACUGAGACACGGUCCAGACUCCUACGGGAGGCAGCAGUAGGGAAUCUUCCGCAAGGGGCGAAAGCCUGACGGAGCAACGCCGCGUGAGUGAUGAAGGUCUUCGGAUCGUAAAACUCUGUUAUUAGGGAAGAACAUACGUGUAAGUAACUGUGCACGUCUGGACGGUACCUAAUCAGAAAGCCACGGCUAACUACGU
rnacentral:rRNA from 1 species